UAGGGAAUCUUCGGCAAUGGACGAAAGUCUGACCGAGCAACGCCGCGUGAGUGAAGAAGGUUUUCGGAUCGUAAAACUCUGUUGUUAGAGAAGAACAAGGACGUUAGUAACUGAACGUCCCCUGACGGUAUCUAACCAGAAAGCCACGGCUAACUACGUGCCAGCAGCCGCGGUAAUACGUAGGUGGCAAGCGUUGUCCGGAUUUAUUGGGCGUAAAGCGAGCGCAGGCGGUUUCUUAAGUCUGAUGUGAAAGCCCCCGGCUCAACCGGGGAGGGUCAUUGGAAACUGGGGGACUUGAGUGCAGAAGAGGAGAGUGGAAUUCCAUGUGUAGCGGGGAAAUGCGUAGAUAUAUGGAGGAACACCAGUGGCGAAGGCGGCUAUCUGGUCUGUAACUGACGCUGAGGCUCGAAAGCGUGGGGAGCAAACAGG
rnacentral:rRNA from 1 species